UUUUGUCAUCACAGAGUCCCUUUGUUACAUCAUACACCUCCAAUCCCGACUCUUUCCGAGUCUUAACCUGACCUUGGCGUACAUUUCCAACCUUUCAGGGUAAAUUCCCGACCUUUUGGUAACAUUUCUGGAACUCACUGUAUGACAGGUCAUGCGUUCAGCCCGGGAUGUUACCCGACACUGUCUUUCUCUCAAAAUUAAUCUUGAGGAAAGCUGGAGGGAAAAAAGUGGAAUUUCCUGAACACAGAUCCCAGAGUCUUUCCCGCAGCAGUGAGCACUAAUACCUCCAUCAGCAGCAACCUUAUCGCUGGCAUCCUGACAACUAGAGGCCAAAAAAACAAGCACCAUUUCCCCAACACCGACCUUUUAAAGAGGAAAAAUUCUAUUUAUGUCCUGCCAGUUCACUAUUGAUUUACAGAGCAAUUAGGUUUGCAUUUCUCUCCAAAUACUGGCCUCAGUGACCCAGGGAAUCCCCACCAUUCAGCGCCUUCCACCACGACACGCUCGUCCGAUCGGCAGGUCACGCGGGGCAAUUAUGAUGACCUUGCUAUUGUGCUUUACCUGAACCCUUCACUUUGUUUGUUUGUUUUGUUUUGGAGGAGAGGAACCUUUAAAUAUGCAGCAGGAAACAAAAGGUUCACUGUGAGGUAAGAUUUUCCCUUAUGGAGAGUCUUUUGGUGGGAAUGUACAUGGGAAGGAGACAUGUGAAUCCUUACAUUAAGCCAUGCAAUUAAUGUAAUCCAAGAUGAAGCCGUUUUUUCCAUGUCUCCUCUUUCACAAUAAGACACCCUCCCCUCGCACAUUCUCAAUGGCCUUUGAGGAGGUAUAAAAGCCUUGGAGGCUGCUGUUGCCACAGGACCAGUUCAAGUGCAAUACUACAUUGUGUACUGUACACCACCGAACCCUGUCUCUGACCUCCAGCCAUGCUGACCAGGAACAUUCUCAUCCUCUGCUCAUUGGCGCUGGUACUGGUUAAAGCGGACCUUGAAGCAGCUGAAGGAGGGUCCCAAGCCAUGUUUGCGACAGAUCCGGAUUCAACCUCAGAUGAAGCUCCAACUGAAAGCAUGAACCUGGUCUCACCUGACCUGCCCAACGAUGCAGCUAAAUCCAGUAUGGAAGAGCCUGAUGAAGAUGAAGCUCCAGACUCAGAGGAGGCGACAGCGGCUGUGAAACCCGCCCCGGUCCCAGUCCAGCGUGCAACCAAAUCCCACAAUGCAUCAGCACGCAAGCGGAGCAAGCCCAUCACUGCCUCAAAAAAGAGAUCAAGAAACCUCCGUCCCUGAGACAUGAACUGUGGAGAGAGAAACAGGGCAAAGCUGCAAUGACAAGGCAGUAACAGAAUGAGAAAAACAAAUGAUAUAGAUGAUGUUUUCAGAGGCAUUUUUUGUUUUUGUUUGUUUUGAGAAUCUUGAACUAGACUUUAUCCUCUGUGAUGUACUGAUUGGUUUGUGUUUGACUGUGUGUUUGUGUAGGUGUGAAUGCUUAUGACCUCUGUUAAAGGUCUGGUAAUGUGAGCUACACAAUGUGCUUGCCAAAUAUUCUUCCAAACUUUAUCCAGAGGCAAAGCUGACAUGGACACUUUAUAGGGUUGAUUUCAUUUUAGAUCAGACUAGAAAAUAAAUUUAUUGAAAAUUUCUAGACA
ensembl:lncRNA